rnacentral:rRNA from 1 species
AUUGAACGCUGGCGGCAUGCCUUACACAUGCAAGUCGAACGGUAACAGGUCUUCGGGAUGCUGACGAGUGGCGAACGGGUGAGUAAUACAUCGGAACGUGCCCAAUCGUGGGGGAUAACGAAGCGAAAGCUUUGCUAAUACCGCAUACGAUCUACGGAUGAAAGCAGGGGACCGCAAGGCCUUGCGCGAACGGAGCGGCCGAUGGCAGAUUAGGUAGUUGGUGGGAUAAAAGCUUACCAAGCCGACGAUCUGUAGCUGGUCUGAGAGGACGACCAGCCACACUGGGACUGAGACACGGCCCAGACUCCUACGGGAGGCAGCAGUGGGGAAUUUUGGACAAUGGGCGAAAGCCUGAUCCAGCCAUGCCGCGUGCAGGAUGAAGGCCUUCGGGUUGUAAACUGCUUUUGUACGGAACGAAAAGACUCUGGUUAAUACCUGGGGUCCAUGACGGUACCGUAAGAAUAAGCACCGGCUAACUACGUGCCAGCAGCCGCGGUAAUACGUAGGGUGCAAGCGUUAAUCGGAAUUACUGGGCGUAAAGCGUGCGCAGGCGGUUAUAUAAGACAGAUGUGAAAUCCCCGGGCUCAACCUGGGAACUGCAUUUGUGACUGUAUAGCUAGAGUACGGCAGAGGGGGAUGGAAUUCCGCGUGUAGCAGUGAAAUGCGUAGAUAUGCGGAGGAACACCGAUGGCGAAGGCAAUCCCCUGGGCCUGUACUGACGCUCAUGCACGAAAGCGUGGGGAGCAAACAGG